rnacentral:tRNA from 1 species
CGUCUCGUGGGGUAACGGUAACCCGCCUAACUCAAGCAAGCCCCUGUCUUGACCACGGGAGGUGCUGGUUCAAGUCCAGCCGAGGCGA